rnacentral:rRNA from 1 species
AGUGAACGCUGGCGGUAGGCCUAACACAUGCAAGUCGAACGGCAGCACAGUAAGAGCUUGCUCUUACGGGUGGCGAGUGGCGGACGGGUGAGGAAUACAUCGGAAUCUACUUUUUCGUGGGGGAUAACGUAGGGAAACUUACGCUAAUACCGCAUACGACCUACGGGUGAAAGCAGGGGAUCUUCGGACCUUGCGCGAUUGAAUGAGCCGAUGUCGGAUUAGCUAGUUGGCGGGGUAAGGGCCCACCAAGGCGACGAUCCGUAGCUGGUCUGAGAGGAUGAUCAGCCACACUGGAACUGAGACACGGUCCAGACUCCUACGGGAGGCAGCAGUGGGGAAUAUUGGACAAUGGGCGCAAGCCUGAUCCAGCCAUACCGCGUGGGUGAAGAAGGCCUUCGGGUUGUAAAGCCCUUUUGUUGGGAAAGAAAAGCAGCAGGUUAAUACCCCGCUGUUCGGACGGUACCCAAAGAAUAAGCACCGGCUAACUUCGU